rfam:Aspergillus niger supercontig An12
GCACCGGUGGCUCAGUGGUAGAGCGUCGCACUCGUAUUGGUGGUAUGCGAAGGUCGUGGGUUCAAUCCCCAUCCGGUGCA